rnacentral:rRNA from 1 species
AACGAACGCUGGCGGCGUGGAUAAGACAUGCAAGUCGAACGCUGAUUUCAGGGUAGCAAUAUUCUGAAGUCGGAGUGGCGCAAGGGUGCGUAACACGUGGGCAAUCUACCGUGAAGUUGGGGAUAACUUGCUGAAAGGCAAGCUAACACCGAAUGUGAAAAUUAUGAGGCAUCUCUAGAUUUUCAAAGUUGGGGACCGCAAGGCCUGACGCUUCACGAUGAGCCUGCGGCCUAUCAGCUAGUUGGUGAGGUAACGGCUCACCAAGGCUAAGACGGGUAGCUGGUCCGAGAGGACGACCAGCCUCACUGGAAC